UACAGAGGUCUCGAGCGUUAGGCGGAAUCACUGGGCUUAAAGCGUGUGUAGGUGGAUGCCUAAGUACCUUGUGAAAUCCCACGGCUUAACCGUGGAACUGCUUGGUAUACUGGGUGGUCUUGAGUCACUCAGGGGCGAGCGGAACAAAUGGUGGAGCGGUGAAAUGCGUAGAUAUCUGGAGGAACACCGGUGGCGAAGGCGGCAUCCUGGACCGACACUGACGCUGAGGCGCGAAAGCUAGGGGAGCAAACAGG
rnacentral:rRNA from 1 species